CACGUAGGGUGCGAGCGUUGUCCGGAAUUAUUGGGCGUAAAGAGCUCGUAGGCGGUGUGUCGCGUCGGCCGUGAAAACCUGCAGCUUAACUGUGGGCUUGCGGUCGAUACGGGCAUCACUGGAGUUCGGCAGGGGAGACUGGAAUUCCUGGUGUAGCGGUGAAAUGCGCAGAUAUCAGGAGGAACACCGGUGGCGAAGGCGGGUCUCUGGGCCGAUACUGACGCUGGAGGUGCG
rnacentral:rRNA from 1 species